rnacentral:rRNA from 1 species
UUGACGGGGGCUCACACAAGCGGUGGAGCAUGUGGCUUAAUUCGAGGCUACGCGAAGAACCUUAUCCUGGACUUGACAUGUGCGAAAGCGCUCGGUAGUAGGAGCCGGAAACGGUAACGAACCUCGCAAGAGGGAGCCGAGUACAGGUGCUGCAUGGCUGUCGUCAGCUCGUGUCGUGAGAUGUCGGGUUAAGUCCCAUAACGAGCGAAACCCUUACCUUUAGUUGCCACCCGCAAGGAGCACUCUAGAGGGACUGCCGGUGUUAAACCGGAGGAAGGCGGGGAUGACGUCAAGUCCUCAUGGCCAC